ACCUCGGUGCCCCUCUCCCUAACCGCCGCCACCACCGCUCCCACCCUCUCCCCCAUCCCCCGCUCUCACUUUCUGUCCUUAAACUAGGUGGCCCCGAGAACAAGCAGGCUGAGGCGCUUCCCGAUUUGCGGCGGCUGCUUCCGGAUCCGCCGAGCAAUGCCAGAGGUCGGCUCCUUCCCCGUGUUGUCCUGCGCCAAGGUUGGCCUCCCCUUGCUUUUCAGCAUGGUCCAUGGCGCUAACCCCGGACGAUACCACCUCUCGGUUCCCAAUCCCACCCCUAAAUCGAUGGAUGGAUCUCCAUGGCUAAUGUGUUUUCCUACUGCUUUGGUUGGUCGCGGGUGAGGCACUCAAUACCAUGGUCGGACGGAGGUUGGGCGAUUUCCUUCCCUGACCUCACCGCUUAGCCACUCCACCGCGAGCUUCUCGCCCCCAGCGGCGUACAAGACGUCCUCCUUGAUGCAGCCAUUCCCAACAAGCUCUCUUUGACGGAAGAGGUGUAGAAGCAAGUCCAGCACCCCCUUGGCCCCUGCAUCCUAUCCUACAUCACCUGAACGAGCUUACUGAUGGAUGCGUCCUCCUUACCUCCUAGCGUGAUAUUGGUUUAUGGGAGUAUUUUCAACAACAAAGAGAUGACGAGCGUAUCCACGGCCAGGAAUGCGAGGUCCCAUGGUUGUACAUCGAGCAUUGUGCAUUGCUUGAUGGGUGUGGUGCUGGCUGUAGAGUAUCAUAGUGUUCUCUGAGACAUGCUUGUAGAAUUAAUCUUUUUUGGGUUCUUUUUUUUGCUCAUGUAGAGGUGUAUUUUGGGUGUGUUUAUGUAAUUUUUUGUUUUUAAGGACCUGAACAUAUUUUUUUGUUAAAUUAUU